rnacentral:rRNA from 1 species
GAAUACUACUGGGGGUAGAGCACUGUUAAGGCUAGGGGGUCAUCCCGACUUACCAACCCUUUGCAAACUCCGAAUACCAGUAAGUACUAUCCGGGAGACACACGGCGGGUGCUAACGUCCGUCGUGGAGAGGGAAACAACCCAGACCGCCAGCUAAGGUCCCAAAUUACUACUAAGUGGGAAACGAUGUGGGAAGGCUCAGACA